rnacentral:rRNA from 1 species
UACGUAGGGUCCGAGCGUUGUCCGGAAUUACUGGGCGUAAAGAGCUCGUAGGUGGUUUGUCGCGUUGUUCGUGAAAACUCACAGCUCAACUGUGGGCGUGCGGGCGAUACGGGCAGACUAGAGUACUGCAGGGGAGACUGGAAUUCCUGGUGUAGCGGUGGAAUGCGCAGAUAUCAGGAGGAACACCGGUGGCGAAGGCGGGGUCUCUGGGUAGUAACUGACGCUGGAGGAGCGAAAAGCGUUGGGGGAGCGAACAGG